rnacentral:lncRNA from 1 species
UUGGAACUGAGAGUAACAACGGAUCACAUGCUAUAUUAUUAAAAUACUUUAUAUUGAGUAUAUGCUGGAAGAAAGAGGAGGCUUACAGCACUCUAACGAUUUAUGGGGUUAUCACUGCCCAGAGAUUGUGAAUUUAACUGGAUAUUUAGACAGACUGAAGAGGAACUAAGGGUUGACUACACCACCCCACUUGCACCUACUGACUUACAUUAAAAAAUUGAUAUAGUCUAUCAGAAAAAGAAUGCGGG